UCGGCAUAUUGUUUGCGCUCAUUUUUGUACAGAAGCAUCACUGGUAAUGCCUUAUUGAAGUAAGAACAUAAACCUUUUGUAAUUUCUCCAACUGCUUCAGAUAUCCUAAAUCCACCAAAUCACAGAACAUCAGCAACACAUAUCUUCAAGUAUGUGAAUUCAAGGAUAUUUUUCUUAUUAUUCUUCCAGACAAUCAAAAUAAUCAGAAAAUUUAGCUGUUUCAACUCAAGGCCAGGCCGACUUUUUAAGCUAUUAUAUAAAGUUAAUAGGAAAUUUAACAGAAGGAAACCUUAUUUCUUAAAAAGAAAAAAGUAAUAAUGGUGAUAGAAAGGAUGGGGAAACAUUUGUAUCUGAUCAGUCCAAAAGUUGGUGUCUGCCAAAAUUCUAUAACUCAAAAUUAGCAACCAAGAAGGAAAAUAUUAAAAGUUAAUACAAGGGCCGGGUAAGAACUUA
rnacentral:misc_RNA from 1 species